rnacentral:ncRNA from 1 species
GUGUUGUAUGAAAGGAGAGAAGGUUAGCACCCCUUGACAAGGAUGGAAGAGACUCUCGGCCUGACAACAGGCAUACGGUUAGGCAUUGCCACCUACUGUGGCAUCUAACCACUGUUUUUA